ACCACCGAUCGGCACUGCAACCGAAUACAGCAACUCUCGUUCACGAUAUUUUCGGUGUCAAGGUGUACCAGAAGCCGUGCUACUAUCAUCAACCUGGCCUUCGUUUUGCGGUGAAACGUUAAUUCAUUCAUAGCACGCACCGCAAGGGCAAUAACCUGGCCAACCAUAAUUGCCAUCGAAAAAUCAGUUCUCGAUCAAUUACUCACACCGAUCGUUACGCCUAAAUAGCUUGUUACAAUGCGGGUCGUUCAAACAGAUUCGAUCGGUUUGAUUAAAUCAACAGGAAAGAAACAAGCAAUUUAAAUAGGAAACGGAUUGAGAAUGAAGAUUAGAGAAAGAGUAUAGGAAGAAAUUUAUAAUUCUAUCUAAGGAAAGAGAGAUGUCUUUAAAAUCAUUGGAACGUGUCUACUUCAGAAGUGAACACAUAAAACAAGACUAUUUAAUUUUAUCUAAUAAGAUCCCUUUCCAAUCGUUUUAUUUCCAUCGUUACGAAGCUAUAGCUGGGAACAUUAGAUAUAUACGAGGCUCGUAAGAACAGCGUAAUGAGCCUAUUUUAAUCUUCCGAUUUUAAUGUCGUUAUUAUUAAUUGACAGCAGGUUGGAAAGUAGAACAACCUGUUGGACGCAAAGACUAUAAAAUACUAAGCAUUAAGUUCAGGAAGCUGCGUAAAAAAGAACAAUCAAAAGCGUUUCAAAUUAACGAUCUUUAAUACGCAGCUAAGCACGUUAUAGUUAAUUGGAAUUGAAACAAUAUGACCAGAAUACAUCACCUAUAUUAGAAUAUGUAAUUAAUGGCUCAAUAAAAGUAAACAUUAAAUUACCGAA
rnacentral:lncRNA from 1 species